CGAUUAGGUUGUUGGCGGUGUAACGGACCACCAAGCCUUAGAUCGGUACGGGCACUGAGAGGUGGAGCCCGGAGAUGGGGGCUGAGACACGGCCCCAGGCCCUACGGGGCGCAGCAGGCGCGAAAACUCCGCAAUACGCGCAAGCGUGACGGGGGAACCCCAAGUGCCUCAUCUUUUUGGUGAGGCUUUUUCAGAGUGUAAACAGCUCUGAGAAUAAAAGCGGGGUAAGACCGGUGCCAGCCGCCGCGGUAACACCGGCCGCUCAAGUGGUGACCGCUAUUAUUGGGCCUAAAGCGUCCGUAGCCGGUUCGGUAAGUCCCUGGGUAAAUCCUGCCGUUUAACGGUAGGAAUUCUGGGGAUACUGCCGGACUCGGGGUCGAGAGAAGUCGGAGGUACUCCGGGGGUAGCGGUGAAAUGCUGUAAUCCUCGGGGGACCACCAGUGGCGAAGGCGUCCGACUAGAGCGGGCCCGACGGUGAGGGACGAAAGCCAGGGGAGCGAACGGGAUUAGAUACCCCGGUAGUCCUGGCCGUAAACGCUGUGGGCUAGGUGUUGCAUGCUCUACGAGGGCAUGCAGUGCCGUAGAGAAGUUGAUAAGCCUACCGCCUGGGAAGCACUACCGCAAGGUAGAAACUUAAAGG
rnacentral:rRNA from 1 species